CUGAGGCAGGAGAAGCUUGAACCCAGGAGGCAGAGGUUGCAGUGAGCCCAGAUCGCGCCACUGCAUUCCAGCCUGGGUGACAAGAGCGAGACUCCAUCUCAACAACAACAACAACAGCAAAGAGUUACUCUUCUUUAUUUCUGUGAAUCUGCCCCUACCUACUCUGUGAUAAACUGCCACUUUCUCACAAGGGCUUGUAAAUGUAGAGCUCCCAACUGAGACUGGACAUUCCACCAUUCUGGUCUCUUCUCUGAUUGUCACAGCGAUGCCUCCUGCCCCUUAAAAGUCCAAUGUUUGAUUCCAGAUCUUAUUGAUCCUGCCUGUGGCUCAUACAAUUGUGUGUCCAGCCCAAUUCCAUUCUGCACCAACUCUGACACCAGAUGUGGAAAGUUGAAUUAGCGCCAAGCCACAUGGACUUAUAUAUGCCACAAGGCCUUGCUGCUUUAUGUCCUCAGUGUCUUACAGAUCUGUGGUAACUACAGUUGGAGUACAUCAUUCUUAUGCAGUGGCACAGUAUCUAUUGAAGCUCAAAAUGUUCAGUCCCUAUGAUCUUGCAAUUUGUUUUCUAGGUAUUCAAUUUAGAGAAACUCUCACACAUGUGCACAGGAGACAUUUUCAAGCAACUUAAUUGCAGCAUGUUCACUGCAAUGAAAAAGUGGGACAAAUGUAAUAACCCUCAGUGGAGGGAUGAAUAAAGAAAUCCUGCUUUGGUCAGACAAUGGAAUAUUAUUCAUCAGUUGAAAAAAAAUGCCUUGGAGCUUAUGCAUUAAUGAGGAUAGCAUUAAAAAAUAAGAUGUUUAGUUACAAAGGCCACUUCCGAAGGAAUAUGUAGUAUAUAUUUUAUGGGUGUAAAUUUUUAAAACAUAAAUAAAACAUUGUCUAUUGUUUGUGGAAGCAAAUCUAUGUAGUAAAAAUAGAAAAGCAUUGAAGACUUCCAGCAAGGAAGUAUGUAGUAGAAAUUGCCUUUUAAAAGCACAAUCUAGCUACAGUAUUGAUAAUGCAUUCACAAGGUAGCCGGUUAGAAAGCUAUUAUUGUAGAAUAGUUGAACAAUGACUGUAAAUUUGAUUAGAGAGAAAAGUAUACAGAUUCUAGAGCAAUUUCAAAGUUAGAAUUUUUAUGGCUAUGAGGGCAUGAGGGAUGGAAAGGAGUCAAGUGAUUUUCAAGUUUCUGGCUUGAGUAAAUUGUUCAUUUGUGCUUCUAUUUACUGUUCUAAGGAAUAAAGAUGACAUGACAGGUUUGGGGAUGGGUGGAGGUAAUAAAUCCAGUUUUUGAAAAAUUAAUUUGGGUAACUUUCUCUAACUGGGGAAGUCAAGGAUAUACAGGAAAGGGCUGAAAGUCAACAGAGAAUUCUGAAAUGGAGAUAAAGUUUGAAAGUUAUUAGCAUGUGCUGGAAGAUAACUAGUAAGAGUAGAGAAGAUUGAUUAAAUUGAGUAUAAAGGGUGAGAAGAAGAGAUGGCCUCGGUCUGAGCCCUGAGUUAUCUCGUUUGAGUAGUUUGGAAAGAAAGGACAAAAAUGGGCAGGAGCUGGGGACUAGGGACUAAAGGAGGGAGAAAGGAAUAAUUAUUAUUAUUUUGUAUGUUUGUUUCUUUAAUAUGAGGCAAAUUUGAACAUGUUUAAAUACUGCUGGGAGGGAUUUAGUAGAGGGAGGCUGAAAUAUGGAAAAAAGAGAAGAUAACCAAUGUUACCUUCCCCAAAGAAGGUGGAAUCCAAUGCAUUCGACAAUGACAUAUUAUUGAAUUAAUUGAUAAAUGAAUUUGAUAAAAGAUGCCAUUUCUCUAGAAACAGCAGUAAAGGGGUAAAGGAUGACUGUGGAUACUAAUAUGUUUACUGAUUUGGGUAGUGGGAGGUUGAGGGUUUUCAUGUCUGAUUGCUUCUAUUACGUCUUUGAGAUAGGAAGUAAAGCCAUCUGUGGAGGGAAAGGGAGAGGGGAAGAAUUUAAAAGUUGUAGGAGAGCAGAGUUUGCAAAUGUUGUGUAGGAUUGGAAUGAAUGCUGGAUUGGGAAACAACACAGGAUUUCUGUCAUUGGCUCAGGUUCAAAUUGAGGCUGAAGGUUUUGAAUUUAUGGUGGUGCCAAUCUCCUAGGACCACACUUGUAUAUCUACACUAUUUGGGUUAAUUCUUUCACAAGUGUCUCUUCAUUUCUUCCUAGAGACAGUCUACCUUCUAGACAUAUCACAUGUGUCUGAAUUUAUAGUGAGGGUAGAGUAUAGGUCAGCUUCAGAGAUCCUUGUUGUUUUCUUAAUCUAUGUUCAGCAUCAUUGAAAGAAUCCUAUACAAUGGCAAUAUUCUAAAUCUUAGCUAUCAUGAAUUGUGUCCUAAGCAUAUAUGGACUUCCAAAUUUGUUGUCAUUUCUAAGUCCUGUAGGAAGAAUUGAGUAUUUUCUAAGCUCUCUAUAAAUGGCAAUGUGAGACUAAAGCAUUACAUAUUUUAUGAAUAUGUAGUCUGUGACAUAGGUUUGACCAACCUUGUGCUGGAAACAAGAAACCUAUGGUAUUCCUUUUAAGUGUGGCAGAGUUUAUGUUGUACAAAGUUUUGUUGUUGUUGUCAUAUAGGCGUAUUCUUACUUUGGAGAAAUAGGUAUUCAGGAAUCUGAGAACACUGGAAAGUAUUCUACUAUGGUUACUGUGGUCUGAUUGACUCAGCCGCAUAUUGACACACAUUUGCUUUUCCCUGUAUUCAAAAGAACCAAUGUUUUCUUUCUAAAAGUGACUUCAUCUUCCAUCAUAAAUGCCUCUACUCUAAGGCCUGGUGAGAGAAUUCUUUGGAAACCAAAGAACAUUUAGUCAUGUAGCGUGUAUGUGGGAUUUUUCUCUUUAAUUUAUGGAGUUAUUUGAGUGAGUAAAUUAAAAAGUGGUGUGUUAGUAUUCCACAUUUUGUUAUUUUUGAGGAGAAUGUUUCAUAAGCAAGUUUAUAAUUUAAAAAAUGUUUGUGAUCUUCUGUGAAACUUUUAGUUACAUCUAUGCUAUGCAAACUAAUUGAACCAUUUUACUGGCUUUUGAUCAGAAGAAUAUUGAGUAGUAGAAAGGGAUAAGAAACUUAGAUUCUAAUCCAAACCCUGAUACUAACAACCAUUUCAGUAACUCUUUGUUUGGGUCCCAGUUUUCUGACUUGUGAAAAGAGGAGUUUUAUUAGGUGAUUCUUAAAACACUUGCCAGAUCUUAAUCUCAAUUUUAGUAGUUGACACAGCUGUUUGGCAGCAUGGAAAAAAAAGUCUAAACAUUGUAAGAUUAUUAAUUCUUAUAUGGUACAAUUUAAAAUGUGCAUGUUCAAGCCUGAGGUUUAAGUUAAUAGUAUUCAUUCAUUCGUGCAUACUUUCACUCAAUAUGAGUAUCAGAAAUUUGGGAAACAAUGAAGAACAUGUAUCAGUCCUCCAGUGGUUCACACUGUAGCAAGGAAGACAGAUAUGUCAGCUGAUUAUUAGAAUAAACAUGAGAAAUGAUCCUGCUAUGUUACCUACAUUUCAAACUUUCUUUUUAAUAUAUCCAGCCUCCUAUAUGGAAUCUUCACUUGGCUGGCUUACAGCCCUUCAAAUACAUACCUCUGGUUGAUCAGUUGACUCCAGACCCUGCUCCCAAAACCUUUUCCUUCUAAUGACACCAUCAUUUACCUACUUGCUCAAGUCAGAAAUCUACGAGCCUUGCCUGAUUUCUGCCUCUUCUUCAUUACUUCUGCGUCUAUUCCAUUAGCAAGCUCUGACCCAAUUCUUUUCAGAACCUUCAAUUCCCAUGGCUGCCAUUCUAGUCCAAUCCACCAUCAUAGCUUGCCUGGAUCCCUGUAAGAGCCUCUUUACUGUUCUUCCUCUUCCUUCAUUCCCAUUUCAUUCCAAACUAGUCCCAAAAAAGCAGAUGAGCAAUCAAUUAAAAAUAUAAGUUUAGUCAUACCACUCCCUCCUUGGGGCUCCACUGGCUUCCUGUAGUAUCUUAAAGGAAACCUAAAUAUUGGCAUCUACUGCCCCUUCCUAUGUAUCCAAUCUCAUCAUGACACUGUACCUCUUGGCCAUAAACCUUGAGCCACCCUGGGUUAAGCUCUUCCUACCACAGAGUCUUUACGUGUGGUGUUCCAUUGAAUGACAUUUGCAUCUUUCUCAUCAAGUCUGGCUUCUUCUCAUUCUUCAGGUUUCAAUUCAGACAACCUCUUCUCAUUGACAACUUCUCUUACCCUCUAAAUAGAUUAACCUUCUUUACUUUUUCUAUUUCACUACCA
ensembl:lncRNA